GUGGCAGUGGCUCAGCGGUAGAGCCUCCGUUUCGUACGCUGGAAUACCUGGGUUCGUUUCCCGGCUGCUUUC
rnacentral:tRNA from 1 species